rnacentral:rRNA from 1 species
CGGGCCUGCAGUGGGUACGGGCAGACUAGAGUGCGGUAGGGGAGAUUGGAAUUCCUGGUGUAGCGGUGGAAUGCGCAGAUAUCAGGAGGAACACCAAUGGCGAAGGCAGAUCUCUGGGCCGUAACUGACGCUGAGGAGCGAAAGCAUGGGGAGCGAACAGGAUUAGAUACCCUGGUAGUCCAUGCCGUAAACGUUGGGAACUAGAUGUGGGGACCAUUCCACGGUCUCCGUGUCGCAGCUAACGCAUUAAGUUCCCCGCCUGGGGAGUACGGCCGCAAGGCUAAAACUCAAAGGAAUUGACGGGGGCCCGCACAAGCGGCGGAGCAUGCGGAUUAAUUCGAUGCAACGCGAAGAACCUUACCAAGGCUUGACAUAUACCGGAAACGGCUGGAAACAGUCGCCCCGCAAGGUCGGUAUACAGGUGGUGCAUGGUUGUCGUCAGCUCGUGUCGUGAGAUGUUGGGUUAAGUCCCGCAACGAGCGCAACCCUCGUCCUAUGUUGCCAGCACGUAAUGGUGGGAACUCAUGGGAUACUGCCGGGGUCAACUCGGAGGAAGGUGGGGAUGACGUCAAAUCAUCAUGCCCCUUAUGUCUUGGGCUUCACGCAUGCUACAAUGGCCGGUACAAAGGGCUGCGAUACCGCAAGGUGGAGCGAAUCCCAAAAAGCCGGUCUCAGUUCGGAUUGAGGUCUGCAACUCGACCUCAUGAAGUCGGAGUCGCUAGUAAUCGCAGAUCAGCAACGCUGC